GUGAGGAAUAUUGGUCAAUGGGCGGGAGCCUGAACCAGCCAAGUCGCGUGAAGGAAGAAGGAUCUAUGGUUCGUAAACUUCUUUUGCAGGGGAAUAAAGUGCAGGACGUGUCCUGUUUUGUAUGUACCCUGAGAAUAAGGAUCGGCUAACUCCGUGCCAGCAGCCGCGGUAAUACGGAGGAUCCGAGCGUUAUCCGGAUUUAUUGGGUUUAAAGGGUGCGUAGGUGGGUUGAUAAGUCAGCGGUGAAAGUUUGCAGCUUAACUGUAAAAAUGCCGUUGAAACUGUCGGACUUGAGUGUAAAUGAGGUAGGCGGAAUGCGUGGUGUAGCGGUGAAAUGCAUAGAUAUCACGCAGAACUCCGAUUGCGAAGGCAGCUUACUAAGCUACAACUGACACUGAAGCACGAAAGCGUGGGGAUCAAACAGGAUUAGAAACCCUGGUAGUCC
rnacentral:rRNA from 1 species